rnacentral:rRNA from 1 species
GACGAACGCUGGCGGCGUGCCUAAUACAUGCAAGUCGAACGCAGUGGGGACGGGUGAGUAACACGUGGGUAACCUCCCAUCAGAGGGGAUAACACUUGGAAACAGGUGAUAAAGCGAUACUGAAGGAGGGACCCGCGGGGCAUUAGCUAGUUGGUGAGGUAACGGCUCACCAAGGCCACGAUGCAUAGCCGACCUGAGAGUGGUAGCGGCCACACGGGGAUUGAGACACGGCCCAGACUCCUACGGGAGGCAGCAGUAGGGAAUCUUCGGCAAUGGACGAAAGUCUGACCGAGCAACGCCGCGUGAGUGAAGAAGGUUUGCGGAUCGUAAAACUCUGUUGUUAGAGAAGCCUUAUCUCCCCCUAAAGCCCCGGCUAACUACGUGCCAGCAGCCGCGGUAUUUC